UGUCAUCAAACUUAUGCAAAAAUUUUACUUACAUGAAAUUACACAUUUCUUGAAAUUUUGAACUAAAACCUUAUCAACUUGCUCAAGAUAUAGCUCAAGACACAACCACUAGUAAAUCGGGUUACUUACUACCCUUAGAUUGCAUGUGCUGACUUCAAAAUCCAAUAACUCCUUUAUUCUAACUUGGAAUCCAGUAAGCAAUAUAUAAAAAGUGUAGCCGCAAAAGUGCUUUCUCUAGUUGCAGUCGCCGAUCCUCAAUUGGUAUCCCUAUGCGUGCGUUAUGUUAAAAAGAGUGAUAGUAGCUCUCAAAUCAACACCUUAACUUUGAGUGCUUGUAUCUCCUUCAUAUAAACUCCAAACUAUACAAAAUUUGUACCAAAACCAUAGCCAAAAACCUAAACUUGAUGACCCUAGCCUUUAAAACUCAAAUCGCUCCGAGAAACUAAC
rnacentral:lncRNA from 1 species